GACGAACGCUGGCGGCGUGCUUAACACUCGCAAGUCGAACGAAGUGGCGUACGGGUGAGUAACGCGUAAUCAACCUGCCCUUCAGAGGGGGACAACAGCUGGAAACGACUGCUAAUACCGCAUACUGAAGGAUGGGAUUGCUUCUGAUUAGCUAGUUGGAGGGGUAACGGCCCACCAAGGCGAUGAUCAGUAGCCGGUCGGAGAGGAGGAACGGCCACAUGGGGACUGAGACACGGCCCAGACUCCUACGGGAGGCAGCAGUGGGGAAUCUUCCGCAAUUGACGAGAGUCUGACGGAGCAGCGCCGCGUGAGUGAUGACGGCCUUCGGGUUGUAAAGCUCUGUUAGUCGGGACGCGGUACCGGAAUAGAGAGCCACGGCUAACUACGUGCCAGCAGCCGCGGUAAUAC
rnacentral:rRNA from 1 species